rnacentral:rRNA from 1 species
GAUGAACGCUAGCGGCAGGCCUAACACAUGCAAGUCGAACGGUAACAGGGAAGAGCUUGCUCUUUCGCUGACGAGUGGCGCACGGGUGCGUAACGCGUAUGCAAUCUACCUUUUACAGGGGGAUAGCCUUUAGAAAUGAAGAUUAAUACCCCAUUGUAUAAUAACUUGGCAUCAAGAUAUUAUUAAAGCUCCGGCGGUAGGAGAUGAGCAUGCGUUCUAUUAGCUAGUAGGUGUGGUAACGGCACACCUAGGCAACGAUAGAUAGGGGCCCUGAGAGGGGGAUCCCCCACACUGGUACUGAGACACGGACCAG